AAAAAAAACUGUGAACAACUCACAAAACGAAAGCAAUAUAUCUUCCGCCCUAAUUCUUUCUCUUUAGACUAUAAUCCGUCCACGCGGCAGUUCCGUCGACUGCCCGCUUUGGAAAUCGAUCCUCCGUCAGGUGAAUCGUGUAAAUCUGGGUAUAUUUUUUAUGGGUUCGGGCUGGAUGUUAAAACUAACGAUUACAAGGUCGUGAGAAUGGCGACGUUCAAUAAAACUGACGAUGAAGAUAACGAAAGUUACUAUUUCGAUUACGAGGUUAAGACGAGGCUAUGGUGUGCUGGCCGGUGGGGUUUUACAUUGGGUGAUGCCUCCAAGGAUCGAAUUCGGAAUUCGGAAUACGAUUGUGGGUUUCGAUCUCGGAACAGAAGAGUUAAUCGAAGUGCCUCAACCUAAUUGCGCUGAUAAGAGCUAACUGUUGGAUGUGGGUGUCUUGGAGGGACGCCUAUGUGUUGUUUGUAAUUAUGACCAAGAGAAGAUUGAUGCUUGGGUUAUGAAGGAAUAUGGGGGAUGAUUUCCUUUCAAAAGGAUUCAAAUUGGUCUUAUAAUCAAAAUGAAGAAAAUAUACAGUAUGAGCAAAGUGCGGACGAAGUUAAAUUGCGUCUUAUCUAUGAAGACAACUCUUGAAGCUUUGUAUCUUCUUAUCCUUCUCUCACAGUGGAUCUCCCAAAAGUUGACUUGGGAAGUCAAAUACAAUUGACAUAUGAACUGGGCUUUGGUAUUUGGCAGAAAAAAGCUUGGACAAUUCUCAAACUUUUGAAUGAUGCUAUGUUUAACAAGGUUUUUUUUUUAGUUUAUAGAAUGCUCAACUUGGGUCCAUGUAUUAAUCUUGGUAGCUUUUAUUGUGUGAGACAUUUAGAAAUCUCAACGAUGUCUUGAUUUGCUAUUUUGAUUCCUGCAUCUGGACUUGAUGGGGUUUAU